AUUAGAGGAGCCUCUGCUGAUGGUUGAUGAUUGACAGGGUACCAAGGACAUAUAAAGGCCCCUUUAACUACCAUCUAAUUUCCCUUCCUUCCCUUCCUUCCUUCUUUCCUUCUUUCCUUCCUUCCUUUCUUCCUUUCUCCUUCCUUCCUUCCUUCUCUUUUCUUUCUUUUUCUUCUUGUGGUCUGCCUAUCUGUCUUUCUGUCUGUCUCUGUCUGUCACCCAGGCUAAAGUACAGGGUGCAGGAUCAUAGCUCACUAUAACCUUGAACUUCCGGGCUCAAGUAAUCCUCCUGCCUCAGCCUCCUGAGCAACUGGGACUACAGUUGCUCAUCAUCAUGCCUGGCUAAUUUUUUAUAUACUUCUUUUGUAGAGACAGAGGUCUUACUAUGUUGCCCAGACUGGUCUCAAACUCCUGGACUCAAGAGAUCUGCUCACCUUGGCCUCCCAAACUGCUGGAAUUACAGGCAUGAGCUACUGCAAUCGCCCCCAUCUAACUUCCUACAGAUGUCCGUUUACAUUCCUUCCUGUGAUGAUUUUUAAUGCAUCUUAACAACUAUUAUGUCAACAUAUUUGUUUAAAAUAUUUUGAGAAGGCAUCAGUUUGGAGAAGGUGCUCAAGGCAGACAACUCCUCCUUCUGUUCCCAACCAAUCCUCCUUCCAGCUUUGUUGCUGCGGUCCUAUCCUUGCCCAUGGAUCCUAUGUAAAGAGAUGGUCAGCCUGGGAAUGAACAGCUAUGAAGAGGAUCAUUACUUUGGCCAAGUUCAGUGAGUGGUUAUAGAACAAUGAAAGACAUCAGAGUUGCACAUCUGAUUAUUGAAAUCUCAAGCAAACAGCAUCAGUCAAGGCCAACAAGUCCAUGAUAUUCUGCUGGUACCUGCUGCUGUCUGUUAGCACUUUUGCAAGUGCCAGAUUCAGAAGAAACUAAAGAGAUUUUGCAUAUGUCCAUACUGUCCCAACAAUUUUGUCUCCCAACUAGAAAUUAGAUAAAGCUUGUUGUUUGGUAUAAAAAAAUUGAUGUUAAAUUCAUUUUCCAUAUGUCUUUUUUUUGUGUUCUUUAAUGAAAGGCAAAUGAAUAGGCAUUUGUUUUUCUAACUAUAAAGGUGUCAACUUUAAAAAAUUAUUAAAAUCAAUUAAUUCAUGUAAUUAAUGGAUAUAGUGAAUGCAAAUUUAGAUGGAAGGGGAGGAAAUGAAACUGAAUUUAUGUUAUAUAGAUGUUAUGCUUGUAUUAAUAAGGAUAUAGUAAUUACCGGCAUUCUGCGAGUUGUAAAAUAGGUGUAUCUCCUAGAUCAUUCUCAAGAAAGUUUUAUGAGUUCCUUUCUUGAUUUCCAUGUCUAACAGAGCUAAUUAUAAAAAACUACACAUUGUGCUAAUUUCCAG
rnacentral:lncRNA from 10 species